rnacentral:tRNA from 1 species
GCCGACGUGGUGGAAUGGCAGACACGGAGCACUCAAAAUGCUUUGCCGCAAGGCGUGGGGGUUCGAAUCCCCCCGUCGGCAC